AGAGUUUGAUCAUGGCUCAGGAUGAACGUUGGCGGCGUGCCUAAUACAUGCAAGUCGAACGGUAGUUGAGCAUUCGUGCUUGAUGAGAGUGGCGAACGGGUGAGUAACACGUAACUGAUCUGCCCUUUAGACUGGGAUAACCUUUGGAAACAGAGGCUAAUACCGGAUGAGUUCGCGGUAGUUAGAGAGCCGUGAGGAAAGGCAAAUGCGCUAAGGGAUGAGGUUGCGGGCCAUCAGCUAGUUGGUGAGGUAAAGGCUCACCAAGGCGAUGACGGUUAGGGGAUCUGAGAGGGUGGCCCCCCACACUGGGACUGAGACACGGCCCAGACUCCUACGGGAGGCAGCAGUAAGGGAUAUUGCACAAUGGACGGAAGUCUGAUGCAGCGACGCCGCGUGGGUGAAGAAGGUUUUCGGAUCGUAAAGCCCUUUUCUAUGUGACGAGAGAGGACGGUAGCAUAGGAAUAAGUGUCGGCUAACUACGUGCCAGCAGCCGCGGUAAAACGUAGGACGCGAACGUUAUCCGGAGUUACUGGGCGUAAAGCGCGCGUAGGCGGUUGGUUAAGUUACCUAUGAAAGAUACAGGCUAAACUUGUAUUGGUUAGGUGAAACUGGCUAACUAGAGAGAAAUAGAGGGAAGUAGAAUUCCGGGUGUAGU
rnacentral:rRNA from 1 species